rnacentral:lncRNA from 1 species
CUAUCCCUAAAUCAAGGAGCCUUGUUUGGUGGAACUAGUACAAGUCAAGAUCAUCUUUUUGAGAAUAAACUUACAAAAGACUCAAGACUUAUACUUUCCCUCCAAAACCAAUUGUCUUUCAUUCUAAAUUGUGAAAUUGUGUGAAGGUUGAAAAUUUCAAAUUUGUGACUAAGUUGUGUGGGCCCGAGACAAAUUGCAUGCUGCCACGUCACCACUUGUUACUGUUCACAUCAAUAAUUAAGCUCAAAUUUGGAUUUUUCUAGUUUCUAAUUGUUGAUUCUUGGUUUCAUUAGUUGAUCCUAGAACUAAUUAACAAACUAGUAAACUCUUACUAGAUUGUCAAUUAGUCCUUUGCAUCCAUUGUUCGUGUCUACAUUAUUUUGUGCUUUUCUUGUUUUUGAAUCGUAGAAUUUCUUGGUUCAAG